rnacentral:lncRNA from 1 species
AGAUCGUCGGCAGGAGCUUAGACUGUUCAUACAGCGAAGUUUGGGGUUUGCGAUCAGCCUGAAUUUAUUGCAGUCAAGUGACCCUUUAUAGGAUGUAGAUGUAGGAGAGCAAAGAUUCCAGAUUCAAACUUGGAUUAACCUGGGGCCCAGCUCAGUUAGUGAUUUUGCCGACUUCCUGGAUGUUCAUUUCUGGUUCUGCACAAAAGAGUCACAUUUCCUUUUGGAAUCAGGACCAGGAGACAGAAGCGGACUCGGGAACUGUGAGUGCCCCCCGGUCUUCCCCGGCGCCUCUGACCCCUUCCUCCAUCUCGCCGCCUUCCCUGCCUUCAGCGCGGAGUUCCCUUUCUCCAGGGCUUCUUGUCUGAACUCACCCCCUCGGCUCUCAGCACCAUUCUCCACUUUUAGGAAAAGAAACUCUACAAUUUCUAUGCAAACAUCGGAUAAGAAGGGGAGGGGGAGUGACUUUGAUUUUCAUUUUAAGACUCUGAAAGACGGAGAAAGUAAGCAGAAGCGGGCUGGUGUAUUUCAGAGGCUCCCAGUGAGUCCCUACUAAAUUUACCUAAUAAAAUGAAUUUUUAAAAUUUUCGUUUUCUCAUUUCAUUCCAGCAGAAAAUGAGUUUGCCUUUAUAAUGUCCAGAUCUUUCCAACUCUAUUGAGUGAGAAAUUAACUUACAAAAUUUAAAUACUUUGGUACACACAUGCAC